GAUGAACGCUAGCGGCAGGCCUAACACAUGCAAGUCGAGGGGCAGCACGGUGUAGCAAUACACUGGUGGCGACCGGCGCACGGGUGCGUAACGCGUAUGCAACCUACCCAUAACAGGGGGAUAACACUGAGAAAUUGGUACUAAUACCCCAUAACAUCAGGACCGGCAUCGGUUCUGGUUGAAAACUCCGGUGGUUAUGGAUGGGCAUGCGUUGUAUUAGCUGGUUGGUGAGGUAACGGCUCACCAAGGCAACGAUACAUAGGGGGACUGAGAGGUUAACCCCCCACAUUGGUACUGAGACACGGACCAA
rnacentral:rRNA from 1 species